rnacentral:tRNA from 1 species
GUGUAGCUCAGCAGUAGAGCACUUGCCUGGCAUGCACGAGGCCUUGGAUUCAAUUCCCAGUAC